CCUACGGGAGGCAGCAGUGGGGAAUAUUGCACAAUGGGGGAAACCCUGAUGCAGCGACGCCGCGUGAGUGAAGAAGUAAUUCGUUAUGUAAAGCUCUAUCAGCAGGGAAGAAAAUGACGGUACCUGAGUAAGAAGCCCCGGCUAACUACGUGCCAGCAGCCGCGGUAAUACGUAGGGGGCAAGCGUUAUCCGGAUUUAUUGGGUGUAAAGGGAGCGUAGACGGCAGUGCAGGUCUGGAGUGAAAGGCGGGGGGUCAACCCCCGGACUGCUCUGGAAACUGUACGGCUGGAGUGCAGGAGAGGUAAGUGGAAUGCCUAGUGUAGCGGUGAAAUGCGUAGAUAUUAGGAGGAACACCAGUGGCGAAGGCGGCUUACUGGACUGUAACUGACGUUGAGGCUCGAAAGCGUGGGGAGCAAACAGGAUUAGAUACCCUUGUAGUC
rnacentral:rRNA from 1 species